rnacentral:rRNA from 1 species
CGCGUGUGUGAAGAAGGCCUUGGGUUGUAAAGCACUUUCAAUUGGGAAGAAAGGUUGCGUGUUAAUAGCACGUAGCUGUGACGUUACCUUUAGAAGAAGCACCGGCUAACUCCGUGCCAGCAGCCGCGGUAAUACGGAGGGUGCAAGCGUUAAUCGGAAUUACUGGGCGUAAAGCGCGCGUAGGCGGUUUGUUAAGUCGGAUGUGAAAUCCCCGGGCUCAACCUGGGAAUGGCAUUCGAUACUGGCCGACUAGAGUACGAGAGAGGGAGGUAGAAUUCCACGUGUAGCGGUGAAAUGCGUAGAUAUGUGGAGGAAUACCGGUGGCGAAGCGGCCUCCUGGCUCGAUACUGACGCUUGAGGUGCGAAAGCGUGGGGUAGCAAACAGGAUUAGAUCCCUGGUAGUCCACGCCGUAAACGAUGUCUACUAGCCGUUGGGAGAUUUGAUUCUU